rnacentral:rRNA from 1 species
GACGAACGCUGGCGGCGUGCCUAAUACAUGCAAGUAGAACGCUGAAGAGAGGAGCUUGCUCUUCUUGGAUGAGUUGCGAACGGGUGAGUAACGCGUAGGUAACCUGCCUGGUAGCGGGGGAUAACUAUUGGAAACGAUAGCUAAUACCGCAUAAAAUUGAUUAUUGCAUGAUAAUUAAUUGAAAGAUGCAACUGCAUCACUACCAGAUGGACCUGCGUUGUAUUAGCUAGUUGGUGAGGUAACGGCUCACCAAGGCGACGAUACAUAGCCGACCUGAGAGGGUGAUCGGCCACACUGGGACUGAGACACGGCCCAGACUCCUACGGGAGGCAGCAGUAGGGAAUCUUCGGCAAUGGGGGGAACCCUGACCGAGCAACGCCGCGUGAGUGAAGAAGGUUUUCGGAUCGUAAAGCUCUGUUGUAAGAGAAGAACGGGUGUGGGAGUGGAAAGUUCACACUGUGACGGUAUCUUACCAGAAAGGGACGGCUAACUACGUG